rnacentral:rRNA from 1 species
AUGGCUCAGGAUGAACGCUAGCUACAGGCUUAACACAUGCAAGUCGAGGGGUAACAUGAUUGGAGCUUGCUCCGAUUGAUGACGACCGGCGCACGGGUGAGUAACGCGUAUCCAACCUGCCCCCAUGCUCAGGGAUAACCUUCCGAAAGGGAGCCUAAUACCUGAUGUUGUGCGACGAUGGCAUCAGAAUUGCACUAAAGAUUCAUCGGCAUGGGAUGGGGAUGCGUCUGAUUAGCUUGCCGGCGGGGUAACGGCCCACCGGGGCUACGAUCAGUAGGGGUUCUGAGAGGAAGGUCCCCCCACACUGGUACUGAGACACGGACCAGACUCCUACGGGAGGCAGCAGUGAGGAAUAUUGGUCAAUGGGCGGGAGCCUGAACCAGCCAAGUAGCGUGCAGGAAGACGGCCCUACGGGUUGUAAACUGUCUUUUAUGAGGGGAUAAAGUGGGCUACGUGUAGCUUAUUGCAGGUACCUCAUGAAUAAGGACCGGCUAAUUCCGUGCCAGCCGCCGC